UGGGGAAUUUUGGACAAUGGGCGCAAGCCUGAUCCAGCAAUGCCGCGUGCAGGAUGAAGGCCUUCGGGUUGUAAACUGCUUUUGUACGGAGCGAAAAGGUCUGCCCUAAUACGGUGGGCUCAUGACGGUACCGUAAGAAUAAGCACCGGCUGACUACGUGCCAGCAGCCGCGGUAAUACGUAGGGUGCGAGCGUUAAUCGGAAUUACUGGGCGUAAAGCGUGCGCAGGCGGUUAUAUAAGACAGAUGUGAAAUCCCCGGGCUCAACCUGGGACCUGCAUUUGUGACUGUAUAGCUAGAGUACGGUAGAGGGGGAUGGAAUUCCGCGUGUAGCAGUGAAAUGCGUAGAUAUGCGGAGGAACACCGAUGGCGAAGGCGGCAUCCUGGGCCAACACUGACACUGAGGCACGAAAGCGUGGGGAGCAAACA
rnacentral:rRNA from 1 species